rnacentral:rRNA from 1 species
UACGUAGGGGGCGAGCGUUGUCCGAAUUUACUGGGCGUAAAGAGCGCGUAGGCGGGCUUUUAAGUGAGAGGUGAAAGGUUCAGGGCUCAACCCGAACAGUGCCUUUCAUACUGGGAGCCUUGAGUGUGGGAGAGGCGAGUGGAAUUUCUGGUGUAGCGAUGAAAUGCGUAGAUAUCAGAAGGAACACCCAUGGCGAAGGCAGCUCGCUGGCCUACAACUGACGCUGAGGCGCGAAAGCGUGGGUAGCAAACAGG